AUCCUACGGGAGGCAGUCAGUGGGGAAUAUUGCACAAUGGGCGCAAGCCUGAUGCAGCCAUGCCGCGUGUAUGAAGAAGGCCUUCGGGUUGUAAAGUACUUUCAGCAGUGAGGAAGGUGGGUAUGUUAAUAGCAUAUUCAUUUGACGUUAGCUGCAGAAGAAGCACCGGCUAACUCCGUGCCAGCAGCCGCGGUAAUACGGAGGGUGCGAGCGUUAAUCGGAAUUACUGGGCGUAAAGCGCAUGCAGGUGGUUUGUUAAGUCAGAUGUGAAAGCCCGGGGCUCAACCUCGGAAUUGCAUUUGAAACUGGCAAACUAGAGUACUGUAGAGGGGGUAGAAUUUCAGGUGUAGCGGUGAAAUGCGUAGAGAUCUGAAGGAAUACCGGUGGCGAAGGCGGCCCCCUGGACAGAUACUGACACUCAGAUGCGAAAGCGUGGGGAGCAAACAGGAUUAGAUACCCUGGUAG
rnacentral:rRNA from 1 species